AGACCCGAAACCCGGUGAUCUAGCCAUGGGCAGGUUGAAGGUUGGGUAACACUAACUGGAGGACCGAACCGACUAAUGUUGAAAAAUUAGCGGAUGACCUGUGGCUGGGGGUGAAAGGCCAAUCAAACCGGGAGAUAGCUGGUUCUCCCCGAAAGCUAUUUAGGUAGCGCCUCGUGAAUUCAUCUCCGGGGGUAGAGCACUGUUUCGGCUAGGGGGCCAUCCCGGCUUACCAACCCGAUGCAAACUGCGAAUACCGGAGAAUGUUAUCACGGGAGACACACGGCGGGUGCUAACGUCCGUCGUGAAGAGGGAAACAACCCAGACCGCCAGCUAAGGUCCCAAAGUCAUAGUUAAGUGGGAAACGAUGUGGGAAGGCCCAGACAGCCAGGAUGUUGGCUUAGAAGCAGCCAUCAUUUAAAGAAAGCGUAAUAGCUCACUGGUCGAGUCGGCCUGCGCGGAAGAUGUAACGGGGCUAAACUAUGCACCGAAGCUGCGGCAGCGACACUAUGUGUUGUUGGGUAGGGGAGCGUUCUGUAAGCCUGUGAAGGUGU
rnacentral:rRNA from 1 species